rnacentral:rRNA from 1 species
UACGGGGGGUGCGAGCGUUGUCCGGAAUCACUGGGCGUAAAGGGCGCGUAGGUGGUUUGAUAAGGGUGUGGUGAAAGCCCGGGGCUCAACCCCGGGUCUGCCGUGCCCGACUGUCAAACUCGAGGGCUGUAGAGGCAGACGGAAUUCCGGGUGUAGUGGUGGAAUGCGUAGAGAUCCGGAGGAACACCAGCGGCGAAGGCGGCAUCCUGGACUGGUCCUGACACUCAGGAGCGAAAGCGUGGGGAGCGAUCCGG